rnacentral:misc_RNA from 1 species
AGAGGGCAUAAUAGAGUUGAAAGGAAACAUUGUGCAACCCUAAGCAAAGAAUAUGUUGCAGGCUUAUAGGCAUAAAGGUAGCUAUCAUAGAGCAAAAUUAGAUUUCAGAAAGAGAAUCAAGCUCUGCAGGCACAUAUAUCCCACAUGGCUGACAAGUACUAGAAUUUUUAAUUCAAUUGUUGUCAUGGAAAGGUUAUCCAAUUACAUUUUCAUUUUCUU